GACGAACGCUGGCGGCGUGCUUAACACAUGCAAGUCGUACGGUAAGGCCCUUUCGGGGGUACACGAGUGGCGAACGGGUGAGUAACACGUGAGUAACCUGCCCACAACUUUGGGAUAACGCUAGGAAACUGGUGCUAAUACUGGAUAUGUGCUCCUGCUGCAUGGUGGGGGUUGGAAAGCUCCGGCGGUUGUGGAUGGACUCGCGGCCUAUCAGCUUGUUGGUGGGGUAGUGGCCUACCAAGGCGGCGACGGGUAGCCGGCCUGAGAGGGUGACCGGCCACAUUGGGACUGAGAUACGGCCCAGACUCCUACGGGAGGGAGCAGUGGGGAAUUUUGCACAAUGGGCGCAAGCCUGAUGCAGCAACGCCGCGGGCGGGAUGACGGCCUUCGGGUUGUAAACCGCUUUCAGCAGGGACGAAGCUUUUUGUGACGGUACCGGCAGAAGAAGCACCGGCUAACUACGU
rnacentral:rRNA from 1 species